rnacentral:rRNA from 1 species
GAUGAACGCUGGCGGCGUGCUUAACACAUGCAAGUCGAACGAAGCAAUAUGACGGAAGUUUUCGGAUGGAAGUAAUAUUGACUGAGUGGCGGACGGGUGAGUAACGCGUGGGUAACCUGCCUCAUACAAGGGGAUAACAGUUGGAAACGACUGCUAAUACCGUAUAAGCGCACAGUAUCGCAUGAUACAGUGUGAAAAACUCCGGUGGUAUGAGAUGGACCCGCGUCUGAUUAGCUAGUUGGUGAGGUAACUGCUCACCAAGGCGACGAUCAGUAGCCGGCCUGAGAGGGUGAACGGCCACAUUGGGACUGAGACACGGCCCAAACUCCUACGGGAGGCAGCAGUGGGGAAUAUUGCACAAUGGGGGAAACCCUGAUGCAGCGACGCCGCGUGAAGGAAGAAGUAUUUCGGUAUGUAAACUUCUAUCAGCAGGGAAGAAAAUGACGGUACCUGACUAAGAAGCCCCGGCUAAUUACGUGCCAGCCGCCGCCGUAAAAC